rnacentral:lncRNA from 1 species
AAUAGGAAGCAGCUUUGACCAUCCCACUCUGAGCGGUAGCAGCAGGUUGAAGCUCACAAUCCAACGAUCAGCAUUAAAUACAUUGCAAAAAACCACCACCCCUAACCACAAGAUGCGAUUGAGAAUUCAAAUCGUCCAUCAGAAAUGGAUUAGAAGAAUCCGAAACCCUGGCCCACAAAUAUUAAUUAAAAAAGCCCAAUAAAUAUUUUAUGCAUAUCCAAAAACAUUGAAUAGCACGAGAAUUAAUUAUAGAAAAAAAUCUAAAAGAAUAAAGCACAACCGUUGGAUCUAUCCCAAGGCAAUUAACCUAGUAAUAGAUCGUAGGGUAAAUACGCGCCGUUGGGUAAUUGUAACUGCGAGUGGUGGAUAUAUAAGAGAACGUUCACUUCACUCUUUGUAGUCUCUUCUAGGGUUAAAGCAGCGCAGCUAGAAAAAAAGGGUUUUGUGAAAAAAAUUUGAAAUCAUGAGUUCUAGGUUAUCUGGGAAGGUGAAGUGGUUCAACGAUCAGAAGGGGUUUGGAUUCAUUACCCCUGAUGAUGGUACCGAGGAGCUUUUCGUUCACCAAUCUCAGAUCCAGACUGAUGGUUUCAGGAGUCUUGCUGAAGGUGAAUCUGUCGAGUAUCAGGUUGAAUCUGAUUCCGAUGGACGAUCCAAGGCUGUUCAGGUGACUGGUCCUGAUGGUGCGUCUGUGCAGGGAAGCAAGCGUGGUGGAGGAGGUGGUUAUGGAGGCGGUGGUGGUGGUUAUGGAGGCGGUGGUGGCUACAACAGUGGCGGUGGAGGUGGUUAUGGUGGAAGCAGAGGAGGUGGCGGAUACGGUGGAGGAGGUGGCGGAUACGGUGGAGGAGGAGGUGGUUAUGGUGGAGGAGGUCGAGGAGGAGGACGUGGUGGAGGCGGCGGCGGUGGCGCUUGCUAUAACUGUGGUGAAUCUGGUCACAUGGCGAGGGAUUGCAGCCAGGGUGGAAGCGGAGGUGGAGGUGGUGGAAGAUACAGUGGAGGAGGUGGUGGAGGCGGCGGUGGCGGUGGAAGCUGCUACAGCUGUGGAGAAUCUGGUCAUUUUGCGAGAGAUUGCCCAACCAGUACCCGUUAGAUCUCUGCGGAUUACUUUUUAUGAGUAAUGUGUUGGUGAUUUAGUUGGUUUUUUAAGUUUCAGAGUCGCCUUUUUGGUUUUGAUUUUAUCUUUAUAUUUUGCAAUAGUUUUAGGGGUUUUUGUGCUGGAUCUAUCUAUUAUGCGAACUCUUGGUUUUUAUAAUGAAUGAAUGAAAUGUCGGGCUUAUUUUGUUCAGUUUGUGUUUUUACAUUGUUGGAUCUGGGAAAUUUCGGUGAUUAAACCUGUGAUUUUUUAGGGUUUAUGACUUAAAUUUUCCAAAUUUCGGAUUUGUUGGUUCGAUUUUAUGGUUGCGCUUUAUGAAUCUUAUAAGUUAUAAUUUCAUUAAACAUCUAUUGUGUAUGAUAUCUAAUGCAAUUUUGUUGUAUAUUAUUGUAUUUUGGUAACCCUUGCAUGGAAAUGCAUUAGUUUACACAGUAUUAUGAUAUAUUACUAUUUGAACUAUUUUAACUUUUCUUUAGAAUCGAAGUUACAAGUAUUGGGUAGUAUUUCAGUUUGUGAUUUGCAAUAACGAUUUAAAUUUCUUACUGAUAUUUAAUCAAAUGGACCUCAUCAACCUAAUUUUCGUUCUUUGUCUAAUAAUUGCGUUUUAUUUCCUCAUGAUAUAAACAUUGAGAUUGUUAAAAGUACCUUCUCUUUGUAUUUUAGUUUGCCAUUAUUUGAUAAUUGUCCAACUGUAGUCAUUGGUAAAACAAGUAAUUUAUACUGCAUUUGGUUAAGUUACCUUGUUUUUUGUUUCAUUAUGUCUGAUUCGUUGCAUUUAUCUUAAUGGAGAAUUUUGAUAGCUACGAAAUUGUAGAAGAAAGCAAUUAAACAUUGGUGGAGUGUUAUUUUUGACCCUAGAGUUUUUGUGUAAUACAUUGGAUAUUUUAUUGUUUAAGAAUUGAUACAGCAAGAAGUUCAGUUGUGCUGUUUUGUGAUUAAAAUGAUUUUUCUAUUUAUACUUGCUAGUUUGUUUUUGUUUUUUAGUGGGGUUUAGUUUACAUAAUUUUGUAAAUUAAUUUUAUAAACAAACGAUGAAUUCAUUUACGAAGUUCUUUAUUUCUCUAUUAUAUAUUUUUUGAAUAUUAUUAUUUUUAAAAAAAUCAAUAGAAUGAGCAAAAUUGUUUAUGUUUCUGUUAAAAGUGAUUUUUGUUGUUUAUCUUGAAGUAAACUUGAUAUGUUUUUGAAAUUGAUUUUACUUUAAUUAGCGAUUUUGUUUUUGAAGUUUAUAGUGAUUCUUUCUUUGGAAAAUUUCAUUUUGUCAUUUUUACGCUAUUUAUUUUUGAAUAAAUUCUUUUUCCUAAUAUAUGUUGAUUCGAAGCAUAAAAGAAUAAUUCGUUUCAUUGAGUGGUUAACGUCAGAGUGUAUGAUGAAAAACAGUAUAAUUUUGAUAGUUUAUUGUUGAUUUGAUAUAUUUUUGUAAAUUUUUUAUUUUUAUUAGUUUAAUUUUUAUUUAAAUAAAUUAUAAUUCAACUUUCAAACCCUCGAAUAAAUCUUAAGUUGGGGGAAGGAAAAUUCAAUCUUAUAGAAUUGAACCAAAAUAUAUUAUUUAGAGUAAUUUCUAACCAAUACUAGAAUAAAAUCUAUUCUAGUCAUCCACUUUUGUCAUCUAUGGAGUUAAAAUUGAAUAUUAUCUUAUAAAUAUAAAAGUAACAGAUAUAUCAUUUCAUACAACAUUGUGAUAUUUUAACUCUUUUAAUGUUAUAUUAAAGAUAUUUGUUAGUAUUUUUUAUUUAUUUAAAAGUUCUAAAAAUGCUUUAAUAGAUUUAAAUUGGACCCUAUAUAUUUUAAUCUAUUGAGACAAAAACUGGAUUCAAAUUCUGGAUUUUCUAAUACGAACACAUUAACAAAAUAAUGAGUUAAAACCUAAAUCUCAAACUUCAGUUAAUUAUAUAGAAAAAAAUAUUAAAGCAAAAUGAACGACCCUACGAAUGUUUAUUAACUUGCCUUUGUUUGCCUUUGUUUGGAGGAUUUUUGUGGAUGUAAACGUGUUUGAGGCCCCAAAGAUGUGAAUUUUCACAUGCAGAGAUGGGGAACAAAAUCUAUUCUAAAAUACCCCAUCCCACAUAGUCCGAUUCCAUUUAAAAUAUCAUAAUACUUUUAAUUUAAUAUACUUUUAAAUUUUUAUAUAGACUUAUUUUUAUUUAAAACAAUAAUUUAUUUUUUAUUUAAUAUAAUUAUUUUAUAAAUAAGUUUGAUAGUUUGUUGAUCAUGAUUUUCAAAAUUUAUUUGGUAAUAUCAGGUGGUUGGUUUUUAAAUUUUUUACUAUUGAUUUAUUAAGUUAGUUAAAAAUAAAAAAUAAAAAAUUUACUUUUAUGGAUCUUAUAAAUACUUUGAAGAUCUAUACAAAUCAGUGGGGACUAGGAUGGGACAAUGACCCUGACGUAACAAUUUAAGAAAAAUAUUUUUAUAUUUAAUUUUUAUUGCGCCCGAAAGUAAUUGAAUUAAAAAUGAUACUUGUUCAUUUAAAAUUACAUCUGAUUAAAGUUAAAUCUAAGCUAUUUAAAAAUUGAUUAAAAGAAAAUAUUUAUAAUUAUUUGAUAGAAAAGACAAAAUGUUAAUCAUUGAAGAGUAAAAGAUCAAAUAUAAUUCACAUCUAACCUAGUAGUAAAUUAAUCUAAAGAAUAUGAAAUCAUAAUAAUUGAAGUAGAAUAUACUGAACUUAAAAAUACAAGAGAAAUUACCUAUGGAUGGUUGGUUGAUGGUAUUUGGCGCUAAAUUUGAUAGGGAGGAUUAUAGUUUGAUCUCUGCAACUAUGAUUGGGAAGGGAUGGAAACACUUUGGUCAGAAUGGUCAAUGACCCUCGAAUCAGAUUAAUCGGUCCGAUGGUAAAAGAAUACAAGAGAAACUAUUGUAGACGAUGCUUCGAUGAAAAUUUGGUUUGGAAAAUUACCAGAGAAAAGGAGAGUUUAUCCAACGAAUUGCUGGAAGCCAUAGAUCUCUGCUAAUAACAUAUAGUAAACAUUGAAAAAGAACAAUGAAUGAUUCUGAAUUAUAUUGUAAGCAAUGCAGAAAGAACAAUUUUAAAAAGAAAAAACAGGGGAAAGAAGCUUACUAGUGCUUCCGCAUCAAAAGAUUUGCACUCAAUCAGACCCUAAAAUGGAUCAGUCAAUUUCCCAUUGCAGUCUUUCUUUGCAUUUGCCCAAUCAAUUUCAAGCAUUGACAUCAAAAUUAAACAGACAAGCUAUGAAAGAAAACACAUGAGGUUGGAGAGAAGAGAACAGAGAAAGUGGUUUACAAUAGGAUGAACAGA